rnacentral:rRNA from 1 species
CCCAUCCAUCAGGAUGAUCGUUGACUGAAUCCAUAGGUCAACGAGGCAAACCCAGGGAACUGAAACAUCUCAGUACCUGGAGGAAAGGACAUCAACAGAGACUCCGCUAGUAGUGGCGAGCGAACGCGGACUAGGCCAGUGCUUCGAUUGUAAGAACCGGAACACUCUGGAAAGAGUGGCCAUAGCGGGUGAUAGCCCCGUACGGGUAGAAAGCAGUCGGAGACUCGAGUAGGGCGGGACACGUGAAAUCCUGUCUGAACACGGGGGGAUCACCCUCCAAGCCUAAGUACUCCUCAGUGACCGAUAGUGAACAAGUACCGUGAGGGAAAGGUGAAAAGCACCCCGACAAGGGGAGUGAAAUAGACCUGAAACCGAACGCCUACAAACAGUCGGAGGCCGCAAGGCUAACGGCGUACCUUUGUAUAAUGGGUCAGCGACUUACUCUGUGCAGCAAGCUUAAGCCGAUAGGUGUAGGCGCAGCGAAAGCGAGUCUGAAUAGGGCGCUUAGUUGCACGGAGUAGACCCGAAACCGGGUGAUCUAGUCAUGGGCAGGUUGAAGGUGCGGUAACACGCACUGGAGGACCGAACCGGUUACCGUUGCAAAGGUAUCGGAUGACCUGUGAUUAGGGGUGAAAGGCCAACCAAACUCGGAAAUAGCUGGUUCUCCGCGAAAACUAUUUAGGUAGUGCGUCGUGUGAUUACCGCCGGGGGUAGAGCACUGGAUGGGCUAGGGGGAUCCAAAGUCUUACCAAACCUAACCAAACUCCGAAUACCGGCGAGUACAGCGCGGCAGACAGACGGCGGGUGCUAAGGUCCGUCGUCGAGAGGGAAACAGCCCAGACCGCCAGCUAAGGUCCCUAAGUCAUGGCUAAGUGGGAAAGGAUGUGGGAAUUCCAUAACAACCAGGAGGUUGGCUUAGAAGCAGCCAUCCUUUAAAGAAAGCGUAAUAGCUCACUGGUCUAAUUAAGAAAUCCUGCGCCGAAGAUGUACCGGGGCUCAAGCCAUGCACCGAAGCUGCGGACUCGAAAGAGUGGUAGCGGAGCGUUCCGUAAGCCUGCGAAGGGAGACCCGUGAGGGCUCCUGGAGGUAUCGGAAGUGAGAAUGCUGACAUAAGUAGCGAUAAAAAGCGUGAGAGACGCUUUCGCCGUAAGUCCAAGGGUUCCUGCGCAAGGUCAAUCCGCGCAGGGUUAGCCGGCCCCUAAGUCGAGGGCGACAGCCGUAGACGAUGGGAACCACGUCAAUAUUCGUGGGCCUGCUGGUGGUGACGGAUCCGAAAAGUGGCCCGAGCUCGUUGGCGAAUGCUCGGGCGGCCCAAGGGUUCCAGGAAAUAGCCCCAGCGUAUAGACCGUACCCUAAACCGACACAGGUGGACUGGUAGAGUAUACCAAGGCGCUUGAGGGAACCAUGUUGAAGGAACUAGGCAAUUUACCCCCGUAACUUCGGGAUAAGGGGGCCUCUGACGGUCUCGUCAGAGGGGCACAGACUAGGGGGUGGCGACUGUUUACCAAAAACACAGGGCUCUGCUAAGCCGUGAGGCGAAGUAUAGGGUCUGACGCCUGCCCGGUGCCGGAAGGUUAAGAGGAGAGGUGCAAGCCUUGAAUUGAAGCCCCGGUAAACGGCGGCCGUAACUAUAACGGUCCUAAGGUAGCGAAAUUCCUUGUCGGGUAAGUUCCGACCUGCACGAAUGGCGUAACGACUUCCCCGCUGUCUCCAACAUGGGCUCGGCGAAAUUGAAUUCCCCGUGAAGAUGCGGGGUACCCGCAGUUAGACGGAAAGACCCCGUGCACCUUUACUACAACUUUGCAGUGGCAUUAGAGAAUGGAUGUGUAGGAUAGGCGGGAGCCUUUGAAGCCGGGGCGCUAGCUCUGGUGGAGGCACCCUUGAAAUACCGCCCUUUUGUUCUUUGAUGUCUAACCGCGGUCUGUCAUCCAGAUCCGGGACCCUGCAUGGUGGGUAGUUUGACUGGGGCGGUCGCCUCCCAAAGAGUAACGGAGGCGCGCGAUGGUGGGCUCAGGCCGGUCGGAAAUCGGCUGCUGAGUGCAAUGGCACAAGCCCGCCUGACUGCGAGACUGACAAGUCGAGCAGGGACGAAAGUCGGCCAUAGUGAUCCGGUGGUUCCGCGUGAGUGGGCCAUCGCUCAACGGAUAAAAGGUACGCCGGGGAUAACAGGCUGAUACCACCCAAGCGUCCACAGCGACGGUGGUGUUUGGCACCUCGAUGUCGACUCAUCACAUCCUGGGGCUGGAGCAGGUCCCAAGGGUUCGGCUGUUCGCCGAUUAAAGUGGUACGUGAGUUGGGUUCAAAACGUCGUGAGACAGUUUGGUCCCUAUCUGCUGUGGGUGUUCGAGACUUGAGAGGAGCCGUCCUUAGUACGAGAGGACCGGGAUGGACUUACCUCUGGUGUACCGGUUAUGGCGCCAGCCGUAGCGCCGGGUAGCUAUGUAGUGAAGGGAUAAACGCUGAAAGCAUCUAAGCGUGAAACCCGCCUCAAAACUAGGUCUCGCUGAGAGUCGUGGUAGACCACCACGUUGAUAGGCCGCAUGUGCAAGUGCAGUGAUGCAUUCAGCUUAGCGGUACUAAUAGCUCGAUCGGCUUGAUUUU